GAUGAACGCUGGCGGCAUGCCUAAUACAUGCAAGUCGAGCGAACGGACGAGACUCUUGCUUCUCUGAUGUUAGCGGCGGGCGGGUGAUUAACACGUGGAUAACCUACCUAUAAGACUGGGAUCACGUCGGGAACGCGGAGCUCAUACCGGAUGAGAUUUUGAACCGCAUGGUUCAACAGAGAAAACCGGUCUUGCUGUCCCUUGUAGAUGGAACCGAGCUGCAUUAGCUAGUUGGUAAGGUAACGGCUUACCAAGGCAACGAUGCAUAGCUGAUCUGAGAGGGUGAUCAGCCACACUGGAACUGAGACACGGUCCAGACUCCUACGGGAGGCAGCAGUAGGGAAUCUUGCACAAUGGGCGAAAGCCUGACGGAGCAAUGCCGCGUGUGUGAUGAAGGUCUUCGGAUCGUAAAGCUCUUUUAUUUGGGAGGAAGAGAAGUGUAAUAAACUGUUCAUAUCUUGACGUUACCUAAUCAGAAAGCCACGGCUAACUACGUG
rnacentral:rRNA from 1 species